GCUCUGGCAGCUGUCAUGAGUCAUGUGCCUCAGAGGAGCAGAGGAUUCUCUAUGUGGGUGGAGGAUUCAUCAACUGAAAGUCACAACCAUAAGAACAAGGGAAUAUGCCUGUGGAGGGUUGCCAUCUGUGUUGGACUCUGCACAUUACUUCACUGAAGCUCGAUCCUUUCAACAGCUGCAGUAAAACAGGAAAUAGAGUCUUGCUCUGUGCUAUGCCAUGUGAGAUUGGGAUAGUGUUGAUGAAAGCAGAUCCAUGGCCACAAAGAGUGUCACUAUUCCCAGCAGCUUUGGAGGCUAAGUCCUUCAUUAAUUAAGGUGUAUGGCUACUGAGAGACCACCACACACCACGUCCCUCCUGGACAGAACUUCACACAAGCUAUGGGCCGUGAAGCUGAUAAACCUGAACCUGAAUGUGAUUAAGCCUCUAAGGGGAAGUAUCAAUUUGUAGGAAGUUUUGAAGACAAAAAUGCAGUAAAUGAUACCAUGGGAAAGCAAUCACAAAGUCUAAAUGAGGAAAUUCUACAGGACGACUAACCUGAUUUCUUCAACAAACUGCAAGGAAAAAAGGAAAGAGAAGACAGGAAAUCUAUGGCUCAAGAGACUUCAAGGGCUAGAGUUGUACAUAGCUCGGUGGUGGAGCGCUUGCCUAGCACAAGUGAGGCACUGGGUUUGAUUCUCUGGACCACAUAAAAAUAAAUAGAUAAAAUAAAGGCAUUGUGUCCAUCUACAAGUAAAAAUUUAAAAAAAAAAAGAGACUUCAAGAGCUAGAGAACAUAUCAAUUGAAUGCAGUGCACAGACCUUAUUAAAUUCUGAUUCUAUAAAUAUACAUCUCUUUCUGUCUCUCUCUGCCACUCAGAGACAAACACAUUUAUGAAGAGAUAUUUGAUAAUAUUAAGGAAUUUUAUUUUAGGUGUAGUAAGGGUAGUGUGUUCUGUUUAAUAAAAUUGUUGUCUUAUCUUUUACAGGUUCUUGAUAUUUAUGGAUGAAAGGAUAUUAAAUUUGGGGUUUGUGUAAGAAUGAUAGGAAGGAGAACCUGUGUAGAUCAAAGAAACAAGAUUAGCUAAGAGGUAAUAAUUGUUUUAGUUAGGUGGUGAGUUUCAUUGUAUUUUAUACUCUUUUUUGUAAUAAAAUUUCUUAAAAUUUUAACACUUAUUAAGUUAAAAAGGUAUGCAAAAGUAAAAGUAUAAUUGAUCUAUAGAACUAAGAGCUGGUCUGGUAAAAGACUAAUAAAAUAGAGAUAUUUCUUGGCAUGUUCAUCUUAUUUAAAAAAGAGACAAGGCACAAACAAAGUCCAUAAAGAAUAUAAAAGGCAAAUAAUUCUGAUUUAGAUCAGAUAUGAAGGAGUCUGAAAACAUUUGCCUUAAUCCAUGUCGGUAAAUUUUGACCUCCUGAGGAUAUUGUGCAAUACCUGGAGAUAUUUUAAUUGUCACAAAUGUGUGCACUGGGGGGAUUGCUACUGACAUAGUUGGUAGAAACCAGUGCUGCUGCUGCUGCGGCUGCUGCACAUCCGACAACACACAGGACAGCUUCCCACAACCAAGAAGCAACCAGAAUGAAAUGUCAAUAACACUGAAAUUGAAAAAUUCUGAACUGGUUGACAGGCUUCUAGGAAAACUUUAAUAAGAGAAAUUGGCCUCAGAAGAAGCUGAAAAUCUGGAUAAUGCAAUAACCAGAGAAGAUAUUGAAUAAUUUUCCAUGAAUCUUCCUAUUCCCCAAAAGUACAAGGCAAAUAAAUUCUACCAGGUGAGUUCUACCAACACUUCAAUUAAUACAUAAUUUUCAUUUCAUCUAAAAAGUUUGAGAAUAGAAAAAGAUGAGAAUCCAUGAAUCUCAUUUAUUAGCAAAGCAUAACCUUGAUACUGAAACCAAACAAAGACACCAUAAAAGUAGAAGGCUA